GCGACGCCGCUGGAUAUAUCGGCGAGCUUUCAGAGGCUGAAAGGCAAACCAAAGAGUGGAAGAAUGCUCGCGAUGCUAUCGUUCAAGCUGCAGACCAGGUUGGUUCCAUUUGGUUCGCGCGGAUCGCAGUUNNNNNCUUCAAAUGAAUGGGAUCGAGGUCGCAAAGAAUGAACUUGCCUGAGCGCGUGGCGCUGUCCGAAUUAGAAAGUUCGCCAUGGUUCAUCGCACCGACUUUGCCGACA
rnacentral:misc_RNA from 1 species